rnacentral:rRNA from 1 species
UCUGGGACAAGCCCUGGAAACGGGGUCUAAUACCGGAUAACACCGGCCUUCGCAUGGAGGCUGGUUGAAAGCUCCGGCGGUGAAGGAUGAGCCCGCGGCCUAUCAGCUUGUUGGUGGGGUAAUGGCCCACCAAGGCGACGACGGGUAGCCGGCCUGAGAGGGCGACCGGCCACACUGGGACUGAGACACGGCCCAGACUCCUACGGGAGGCAGCAGUGGGGAAUAUUGCACAAUGGGCGAAAGCCUGAUGCAGCGACGCCGCGUGAGGGAUGACGGCCUUCGGGUUGUAAACCUCUUUCAGCAGGGAAGAAGCGAAAGUGACGGUACCUGCAGAAGAAGCGCCGGCUAACUACGUGCCAGCAGCCGCGGUAAUACGUAGGGCGCAAGCGUUGUCCGGAAUUAUUGGGCGUAAAGAGCUCGUAGGCGGCUUGUCACGUCGGGUGUGAAAGCCCGGGGCUUAACCCCGGGUCUGCAUCCGAUACGGGCAGGCUAGAGUGUGGUAGGGGAGAUCGGAAUUCCUGGUGUAGCGGUGAAAUGCGCAGAUAUCAGGAGGAACACCGGUGGCGAAGGCGGAUCUCUGGGCCAUUACUGACGCUGAGGAGCGAAAGCGUGGGGAGCGAACAGGAUUAGAUACCCUGGUAGUCCACGCCGUAAACGUUGGGAACUAGGUGUUGGCGACAUUCCACGUCGUCGGUGCCGCAGCUAACGCAUUAAGUUCCCCGCCUGG